rnacentral:tRNA from 1 species
GGACCAUUAGCUCAGCUGGUUAGAGCAAACGGCUCAUAACCGUUCGACCACAGGUUCGAGUCCUGUAUGGUCCA